CCGGCCGCUGGACGUGAAUGGCACCCCUUUUCCGUGGGAAAGAAAACUCACCUCUGCAGGUUCCUGAUGUCAGUUUGUCAGAGACGUUUGGCACUCCAAGGGCAGCCCGAGUUGUAGCUGGGGGUGGCUUGGGUCUGGGAGGAAUCCUGCUCCAUUCGUAAUUUUCCUAACCCUCUAACCUUAACCCUGAACCCUAAUCUUAACCCUAACUCUAACCUUAGCCUUAAACCAACGUGGGUAGAAAGAAAAUCAUUCAAAUUUUAAAAUAUAUUCUCAGUGUAUGUAUCAGAAGUUUUCCUUCUUGUAGAAUUCUACAAAACCCAGAAUGCACUGGCCUCAUCAGAGAUGUCAUCCUAUGGCAUGCCCAGAAAAACUGGAUUAAUGGGACCGAAUCCUGGCGGCUAGCACUGAAACCGGUAGGAACUGGUGUGGGACAUCAGACGCUAAAGCCAUACAAGAGCUACAGCUGUCAGAACCUCAGAAGUCUGUAUAAAGGUGCUGUACAAUAUAUAAACAUUUACACCCGGUACAUCCAUCCGUUACGUAGCGUUCCGAGGCCACGUGGCUAAGUCUGAUACGGGAAGUACGGAUACAAGGUCUACGGAAGGAGAAAUCACAUACAGGUAAGACAUUAUCAGGUCACAUGAACAUAUAGAAAAAUAGAGAGGAGUUGAAGGCAAGGAAAUAAUUUCAGUGGGGCUAAUUCAUCUGGAAUUAAAGGACUGGAUUUGUCACUGUACUCAGUGGUCAGGCCGAGUGCACACAGCUCAACGUAAACCAACCUCUGGGGAAGAACGUGGGGCAAUAUCUACACAGGCUACUUCAGAGUAUUAAAUAGUUCACAGUCAUAUUCCGCUCAAGGAGAAUUCGUACGUGUUGCGCUGCACGGCAAACCCGGCGUCAGCGUCUCACCCGGUUUCGAGCAGGUGACCGUGGUUCAGAGCUGCUUUAAAGCCUUUUGAAUUCCCAAAAUCUUUGUUUUAAAGCUGUUUGAGCAGUCAGCUGUACUUGUGAAGAAUUCCACUCAGAACUUUGACAGCCUUUAAAAGCAUUUAGUGUUUCAAAUCCAAAACAAGAUAUUCACUUGGAAAGAGGAAAUCAUGUUUGUAUUUGAAGUAAAGCUCGAUCAUUCUACUUUUCUCUCUCCAGCAAACUAGACCGAGGGCCUCCUUUUACCACUUUUCUGCAGUCAUUGAAACUGUGAAUAAAAUAAACCCCUUCUGUUUCUGUUGUUCUUACAUCUGUAGGACUGAUGGGUCAAUAGGUUCUGGUCAUAACAUCCCUCUUUAAAAUAUCUCUGGCAGCACAAAACGUAGAUGGUGUGUCUCCUGUAUCCUGUUUGUCAUCAACACUCUUUGAUCACACAUUUAUAGUAAACAGGGGAGAGUUCUAAAAUACAUGGGCAAGAACAUCACUGAAACCACUGCUCUGGCAGCUGAGUCUGUCCUAAGGUCAGCUCUUACCUCUACAGAAGGAAAAAUCUCAAAUUCUUAACUAGCAUGAAAUAAUUAAAGAUGGGACUUUUCAGCAUCAGCUCCAUCCCAAGGCCAAGGGCAUCGCAGUGCCAUGAGUGAAACCGAAGGAAUUGUGUUAACGGAACCCAGAAUUUUCUUCCCUCUCAAAGAUGUUUGCAACCCAAAUCCCUGUAACUCAAGGAAUUAAAGCAAUUUUGCUGUGUCAGAAAAAGCAAAAUCACAAAUUAAUUAAAAUACCAUAUUUAGCUACAGGGUUUUGUAUUAGGUAUAAAAAUUCCAGGAAAUGUACGAACGCAGCAGCAGCAGCAGCUCAUUUGCUGCCCUGGAACUGACAAAAACCAACUCACCCAUGUUCUGUGGGUUUCCUGAUGUAAACGUGCAACCUGCUCUAGAGAAAGCACCCGCUUCACGCCAAACCUGCCUUGUCUGUGACUGGAAUCCCCGUAGGAAAGGCUAGAUUGACUGGAUACAGCAGCUAGCAUGGCACGGGAACAGGAAGUGAGUCGGGAUCACAUUGGCAACAGAGGCAUUAAAUAACUUUGUUCAGAGUUCACAAUACUUGGGGUAAGCUGCAGCAGUGCAACACUGGGAGCGGCAGACAUGGCCUGCCUUUGCAGGGGACACGGGGACAGCAGCUCAUAGAAGGGUUUCACUGAGGCAAUCUGCAAGGUCCUUCAAGGAGCUUAGAUAAUUUAAGAACAAAUCAAAUACCUUCCCCACCUCUAACCGUUUUCUGAGGGGAAAAAAAAAAAA